rnacentral:misc_RNA from 1 species
GAUGAAGAACGCAGCGAAAUGCGAUAAGUAAUGUGAAUUGCAGAAUUCAGUGAAUCAUCGAAUCUUUGAACGCACAUUGCGCCCCCUGGUAUUCCGGGGGGCAUGCCUGUUCGAGCGUCAUUUCACCACUCAAGCCUCGCUUGGUAUUGGGCAACGCGGUCCGCCGCGUGCCUCAAAUCGACCGGCUGGGUCUUCUGUCCCCUAAGCGUUGUGGAAACUAUUCGCUAAAGGGUGUUCGGGAGGCUACGCCGUAAAACAACCCCAUUUCUAAGGUUGACCUCGGAUCAGGUAGGGAUACCCGCUGAACUUGAGCAUAUCAAUAAGCGGAGGA